rnacentral:rRNA from 1 species
UACGUAGGGGGCAAGCGUUGUCCGGAUUUAUUGGGCGUAAAGCGCUCGCAGGUGGUUCGAUGCGUCGUGCGUGAAAGACCCCGGCUCAACUGGGGAGGGUCGUGCGAUACGGUCGAACUGGAGGCCAGUAGGGGGAUGCGGAAUUCCGGGUGUAGUGGUGGAAUGCGUAGAGAUCCGGAGGAACACCAGCGGCGAAGGCGGCAUCCUGGACUGGUCCUGACGCUGAGACGCGAAAGCGUGGGGAGCGAACAGG